rnacentral:rRNA from 1 species
UACGUAGGGACCGAGCGUUGUCCGGAAUCAUUGGGCGUAAAGCGCGCGUAGGCGGCCUCAUAAGUCCGUUGUGAAAGUCAAAGGCUCAACCUUUGAAAGCCGAUGGAUACUGUGAGGCUAGAGUCCGGAAGAGGCGAGUGGAAUUCCUGGUGUAGCGGUGGAAUGCGCAGAUAUCAGGAGGAACACCAAUGGCGAAGGCAGCUCGCUGGGACGGUACUGACGCUGAGGCGCGAAAGCGUGGGGAGCAAACAGG